rnacentral:rRNA from 1 species
AGGACGAACGCUGGCGGCGUGCCUAACACAUGCAAGUCGAACGGGACCAGGGGCAACUCUGGUUCAGUGGCGGACGGGUGCGUAACACGUGAGGAACAUGACUUUCGGCGGGGGAUAGCCGGCCCAACGGCCGGGUAAUACCGCGUACGACCUCUCGGGGACCUCCCCGGUUGGUGAAAGCAGCAAUGCACCGAAAGAGUGCCUCGCGGCCUAUCAGCUAGUUGGUGAGGUAACGGCUCACCAAGGCGACGACGGGUAGCUGGUCUGAGAGGAUGGCCAGCCACAUUGGGACUGAGACACGGCCCAGACUCCUACGGGAGGCAGCAGGUGGGGAAUAUGCGCAAUGGGACGAAAGCCGUGACGCAGCGACGCCGCGUGUGGGAUGACGGCCGUUCGGGUUCGUAAACCGACGUGGUACGGGAGGACGAAUGCGCCGCAAGGCGAGUGACGGUACCUCGAAAGGA